CAAAACGUAGCUUAACUAAAGCAUCUCGCUUACACCGAGAACAUACCUGUUUAACUCAGGUCGCUUUGA
rnacentral:tRNA from 1 species